rnacentral:misc_RNA from 1 species
AAAGUCGUAACAAGGUCUCCGUUGGUGAACCAGCGGAGGGAUCAUUACAGAGUUUAACGACUCCCAAACCACUGUGAACGUACCCGUACCGUUGCCUCGGCGGGCGGCCCCAGGGCGGGGCCGCAGCCUCCUAGCGGAGGCGCCCGCCGCAGGUCACAAAACUAUACCGAUAUUUUAGUGGCAUCUCUGAGUAACUUCCAAACAAUCAAAACUUUCAACAACGGAUCUCUUGGUUCUG